rnacentral:lncRNA from 1 species
AUUUAUUGUUAACACAGCAUAGGCAAUACAAAAAAGAAGUUCUUCAGGUCAAUUUGAACCCUAAUCCAAAUGCGCCAACCAUCAAUAUUGUCGUAAUACGUGAAGUCUUGCUUGAGAAUACUUUGGGCACCUGACUGUGGAAGGAAGAAUAGAAAUUACAAUAACAAAAUCCUAAUUCUAAUAGAAUACUAACAAUGCUCUAAUUAGACCAUAAUAAUGCUAAGCAAUCUUAAUCAAAUUCAAAAAAAAUCUCAAAGAAAUUUCUAAAAAAUAAUAAGAAUUCUUAAAGAAAUAUUAAAAGAAUCAUAAUUAUCACUCAAAUACAUCUCAAUUCAAUCUUAAUUUAAUUCUAGCUAAAAUUCUAUUGAACUUCAUUCAAACUUUAGGCCAAACCUAAUUAAAUCUUAAAUCCUAAUAAAAUCCUAAAUCCUAAAUCAAACCAUAAAUAAAUCUUAAACCAAAUCCCAACAAAAUCCUAAACCAAAUCCUAAAUCAAAUCCUAACCAAAUCCUAAACCAAAUCCUAAAUCCUAAAUCAAACCCUAAGUAAAUCCUAAUCUAAAUUCCAAACACUAAACCAAAUCCUAAUCCAAAAUUUAAAUAAAACUCUAAUAAAAUCCUAAUAUAAAUCCUAAUAUAAAUCCUAAAUCCUAAACCAAAUCCUAACCAAAUUCUAAUACAAAUCCUAAAUCCUAAACCAAACCCUAACCAAAUCCUAAAUCCUAAA